rfam:Gossypium raimondii Chr02_contig_1033, whole genome shotgun sequence.
AAUCCCAUGAAAAGGGUUUUUUUAAAUAAUUCUUUGAAUCUCUCCCCUGCCUCAUAUAAGGACUCAUCAUCUAGUUGUUGAAAAUGCAGUGAUCUCAUUUCGUAACU